GGGCAGUCCUGGCAGCAACAGAAGGAGGUUAUUCCAGCUAUUCCAGGAGGAGUGUCCUUUUUAAACUGUGGCCACCAGAACUGAACCCACCACCCAGAUGAGGGCUCAGCAGCGUGAAGGAGAGUGAGGCUCUCCCCUCCCUCUCCUGGAAGCUCUUCCCAUCAGCUUUGUUGACUGCCCCUGUCACACUGCUCACACCUACAGAGCUCGCAGCCUACUAAAACAUCCAUAUCCUUUUCCAGAAAGCUGUCUAACUACAACUCCCCCACGAAGGCCUUUUGAAGUUGAUCCUCUGCAUCAAAAUGGGGCACCCAUACCCACGACGUUCCAGAAGCCUGUAGUACUGAAGUAGGACAACCUUGUUCUUCAUCAUCUUCUAUUCUGGCCUUGAGGAUUCAGACAGAAAUGGGAAUAGCAUCAACAGAUGAAAACAAUGUCAAUGGAUGUAGGUCCCUGUGUGUAGUUUUGGCCGAUUUCACUUUGAAUCAGUUCACGUCUGCCAGUGCCUCUCUGAAGACUUCAGAGUUUUCACUUUAAAAAUGUAGCAAACUUCUCUGCUGGAUUUAUACUCCAAGAAGAGCAAAAACUGAAAGGUCUCCAAAACACUAAAAUAUUCAUAACAGGAUUUUAUGUGAU
rnacentral:lncRNA from 1 species